GGGCGUGUGGUUUAGGGGUAUAAUAUCUCAUUCGCAUCUACGUGACUUGAGAUGGUCCUGGGUUCGAUUCCCAGCACGUCCA